rnacentral:rRNA from 1 species
AACGCUGGCGGCGUGCUUAACACAUGCAAGUCGAACGCUGAAGACCUGGCUUUUGUUGGGUUGGAUGAGUGGCGAACGGGUGAGUAACACGUGAGUAACCUGCCCUCUUCUUUGGGAUAACGCCCGGAAACGGGUGCUAAUACUGGAUAUUCACUGGCCUUCGCAUGGGGGUUGGUGGAAAGGUUUGUUCUGGUGGGGGAUGGGCUCGCGGCCUAUCAGCUUGUUGGUGGGGUGAUGGCCUACCAAGGCUUUGACGGGUAGCCGGCCUGAGAGGGUGACCGGUCACAUUGGGACUGAGAUACGGCCCAGACUCCUACGGGAGGCAGCAGUGGGGAAUAUUGCACAAUGGGCGAAAGCCUGAUGCAGCGACGCCGCGUGAGGGAUGGAGGCCUUCGGGUUGUAAACCUCUUUCGCUCAUGGUCAAGCCGCAACUGUGGGUUGUGGUGAGGGUAGUGGGUAAAGAAGCGCCGGCUAACUACGUGCCAGCAGCCGC